UGAAACAGUGGCUGCCAUCAGCCAUGGCUCCAAAAAAGAAGUCAAACAAAGGAGGCAAGGAGAUUCAGAGCAAGAAGAAGAUAGGGGGCAGGAAGGACACCAGUGGGUCCAAGACUCCAGAGUUGGCCAUGGUGGAGGAGCUGAAGGAAUUCUACCACAAACAGAUCCAAGACCUGGAGGACAGGCUGGCCCGGUAUCAGCGGAAAUGGGAUGAACUGGCUGUGCAGGAGAAGCUGUUCCGUCAGGAGUUCGAGCAGCUGGCCAACAACAAGAAGGAGAUCGUGGCCUUCCUCAAGCGCACACUGAACCAGAGGGUGGACGAGAUCACGGACCUGAAUGACCAGCUGCAGAGCCUACAAGUGGCCAAGGAGAUGGAGAAGGAUGCUUUCGAGGCCCAGUUGGCCCAGGUGCGCCACGAAUUCCAGGAAACCAAGGACCAGCUCACCACAGAGAACAUCGCCCUCGGAAUCAAGCUGAGUUCCCUGGAGGAGUUCCGGCUGCAGAAAGAAGAGCUCACAGAGAAGUACAUGGCGCUGGAGGAACAGCUUCGAAGGCAGGAGGGUGAAUACAAGGACUACGUGUACAACCUGGAGAAGAAGUCUGUGCUGGACAAGGACAGGCUGAGGAAAGAGAUCAUCCAGCGCGUGAACCUGGUGGCCACCGAGUUCCGAAAGGUGGCCACCAACCAGAUGUGGGAGACGACCAGGCGGGCCAUCCUAGAGAACAACAACGUGACCCUG
rnacentral:lncRNA from 1 species